UUGGCUCAGAACAAUUAAAUAUUAAGCUGUAAUUAUUACUGUUUUUGAUUUUGAUGUUGGUGGUAUUGUUAUCAUCAUUAUUACUUUUUAUUUAUUAUUAUCAUUGUUGUUGUUGUUGCUGUUGCAGCUGUUGUUAAAAACCUGGUGUUCCAGAAAAUUACAUAUAUUGUUUGUAUAUAUGCAUUAUAAUUAAUCGUAUGACAAAGAGUAUACGUUGCAAUGAGAAAUAAGCAAAAAUACUUUUAGGAGGUCAACAAACUGUAUAUCCCGGAUUUCACUAGGCUACGCACUGGAAAAUACAAUUUGUAGUUAAUGCUAAAAAUAGAUACUGGAAUUUACCUAGCGUAGCCGAACCACAGUACAUAUACAGCGUAUAUACAUAUUCGAUAGUUUGAAUUAAAAACCUUUAUUAACAGCAGACCAGUUCAUCUAGGAGUUGAUAAACUAAAAAUCAAGAAACGAAAGCGAAGUGCAGUCUCACUGGAGUAUUAAAUAACAAAAUGGCUCACAGUCGACUCGUGAAAUAUAUAGCAAUGUUUCUUCUUUUGGCCCAGCUUGUUGAAAUGUCAUCCGCGAAGCGUCGUAUAAAGCUUUGCCGCUACAACCGAAGAACGAACACGUGCAAUGACGUCACUUUGCGAAGUAGCCAACCAAUCCGACAUAAGAUAGGACUGUGUGAAAUUGCUGGAGGAAGCUGUAUGCCAUUCCAAGGACGGAGGAGAAUAAGAUGUUUCUGUAAUAAGAGGCGUGACGUAUGAAAUCAAAACACAGACCUUUGCUGAUAUCGAAUGAUAGAGUCAAGCUCAGAAUCCAGCGGUCAAGAAAAGACCAAGCGGCAUGUAUGAAUAAGGACGAUAGCAGACCAUGAUACAAACUCUACACUUUCUUCUUAUGGAUAUAAAGAAAUACAGCAAAGAUAUAACUGUUUGAACACUAGCCAGAAAAAGAUAUGAAACAUUCAAAGGAAAAGCAGUACUUACUUGUUCAAGAUAAAAUGUCAACA